rnacentral:rRNA from 1 species
UACGUAGGGGGCUAGCGUUGUCCGGAAUCAUUGGGCGUAAAGCGCGUGUAGGCGGUCCGGUAAGUCUGCUGUGAAAGCCAGGGGCUCAACCCUUGGAUGCCGGUGGAUACUGUCGGGCUCGAGUACGGAAGAGGCGAGUGGAAUUCCUGGUGUAGCGGUGAAAUGCGCAGAUAUCAGGAGGAACACCAAUUGCGAAGGCAGCUCGCUGGGACGUUACUGACGCUGAGACGCGAAAGCAUGGGGAGCAAACGGG